UUUAAGUGCACCCAUAAAUUUUCGUAUCCAAUUUUGAUCGUCUGUCUUAUUUAAAAAAUAUUAUGAUUAUUAUUUCUACUGUUAUGAGAUGAUAAAAUAUGGAUAGUACUUUAUGUGUGAGUUAUGUUUUUAAAUUUUUUAAGAAUUUUUAAAUAAGAUGGACAAUUAAAAUUGGGAGUAGCUAUAUUUAUG
rfam:Oryza punctata chromosome 2, whole genome shotgun sequence.